UACGUAGGUGGCAAGCGUUGUCCGGAUUUACUGGGCGUAAAGAGCGCGCAGGCGGCUGGUCAAGUCCGAUGUGAAAUCUCCCGGCUCAACUGGGAAACUGCAUCGGAAACUGAUCGGCUUGAAGGUGGGAGAGGGUAGUGGAAUUCCCGGUGUAGCGGUGAAAUGUGUAGAGAUCGGGAGGAACACCGGUGGCGAAGGCGGGUCUCUGGGCAUCUCCUGACGCUGAGGCGCGAAAGCGUGGGGAGCAAACGGG
rnacentral:rRNA from 1 species